AAGCAAAUAGCAUCUAUUUAGCACCUAAGGUAUCGUUUGGUUCGGGGAUAAGGAAAAAGUGGCUAUUCCAGGGAUAGGUAUAAAUUGAGGUAUAAGCAAGGAUUAGAUCAAUUUUGUGUUUGGAUGAAAAUUGGGUUAUUCCUGGAAUAAAAAAAAAUAGCGUUUGGUUAGGUAAGAUGGAAUAAGAAAGAUAAUGGGUUUUGUAAAUAAAAAAUAAUGAUAUUAUCCACUUAUUAUAUUUGAAUUUGAAUUUUUAAAUUUUUA
rnacentral:lncRNA from 1 species